rnacentral:tRNA from 1 species
GGUAAAAUGGCUGAGUGAAGCAUUAGACUGUAAAUCUAAAGACAGAGGUUUGACUCCUCUUUUUACCA